rnacentral:rRNA from 1 species
AGAGAGCGGCGUACGGGUGCGGAACACGUGUGCAACCUACCUUUAUCAGGGGGAUAGCCUUUCGAAAGGAAGAUUAAUACCCCAUAAUAUAUUGAUUGGCAUCAGUUAAUAUUGAAAACUCCGGUGGAUAGAGAUGGGCACGCGCAAGAUUAGAUAGUUGGUAGGGUAACGGCCUACCAAGUCAGUGAUCUUUAGGGGGCCUGAGAGGGUGAUCCCCCACACUGGUACUGAGACACGGACCAGACUCCUACGGGAGGCAGCAGUGAGGAAUAUUGGACAAUGGGUGAGAGCCUGAUCCAGCCAUCCCGCGUGAAGGACGACGGCCCUAUGGGUUGUAAACUUCUUUUGUAUAGGGAUAAACCUNNNCNCGUGNGNNNAGCUGAAGGUACUAUACGAAUAAGCACCGGCUAACUCCGUGCCAGCAGCCGCGGUAAUACGGAGGGUGCAAGCGUUAUCCGGAUUUAUUGGGUUUAAAGGGUNCGUAGGCGGAUCUGUAAGUCAGUGGUGAAAUCUCAUAGCUUAACUAUGAAACUGCCAUUGAUACUGCAGGUCUUGAGUAAAGUAGAAGUGGCUGGAAUAAGUAGUGUAGCGGUGAAAUGCAUAGAUAUUACUUAGAACACCAAUUGCGAAGGCAGGUCACUAUGUUUUAACUGACGCUGAUGGACGAA